GACGAACGCUGGCGGCGUGCUUAACACAUGCAAGUCGAACGAUGAACCGGAGCUUGCUCUGGGGAUUAGUGGCGAACGGGUGAGUAACACGUGGGCAACCUGCCCCAGACACCGGGAUAACCAUUCGAAAGGAUGGCUAAUACCGGAUACGACCACUUCGGGCAUCCGAUGGUGGUGGAAAGGAUUCUGGUCUGGGAUGGGCCCGCGGCCUAUCAGCUUGUUGGUGGGGUAAUGGCCUACCAAGGCGACGACGGGUAGCCGGCCUGAGAGGGCGACCGGCCACACUGGGACUGAGACACGGCCCAGACUCCUACGGGAGGCAGCAGUGGGGAAUAUUGCGCAAUGGGCGAAAGCCUGACGCAGCGACGCCGCGUGAGGGACGAAGGUCUUCGGGAUUGUAAACCUCUUUCAGCAGGGAUGAAGCGAAAGUGACAGUACCUGCAGAAGAAGCACCGGCUAACUACGUGCCAGCAGCCGCGGU
rnacentral:rRNA from 1 species